GCCGGCGCCGCCUGACAGCCUCCACGGAUCAUCGUCCUCCGCGGCGUACGACGAUGGCAGCGACGUCGAGUACGUCCGCGUCGUCCUCCUCGCCGCCGCCGACGAGGAGCACGCCGGAGAAGGUAUCAGUGUCAGCAAGGACAACUAGUGUACAGUGAUUUAUCUUCACUAAAUACAUAUAUAUAUCUACAGAAGUUCAGCAGAGUACAGUGAGUUUUCUGAACUCCUGAAGAUCAUGUGUUUUCGUCAGGAGAUUGUUGUGAUCUGUGAAUCCUGAAACAUGGGAGCACAUCUUGCACAUGUCAAAGAUUAAUUUGCCGCAAAGUGAAAUACAAUUCAGAUAAUUAAGUAGAUAUAUUUUUUCUUUGUGUGAUGCAGAUUAUAGCAGAGCAGUCAGAAAUGAGUUGAGAACAACUUGUGGCACUUUAGCAAAGAACAUUGAUUCUGUUGCAGAGUUGCAUCUAUCUUCUUGUUUCAGUAAAGCGUAACAGCUUCAGCUUUCAGAUCAGUUGAGAUGCUUAUCCUGCUGCAAUUGCAGUUCAUCAGUAAUUAUACUGUCAGUUCUGACCCCCACCCCCAUGUGUUUUCAUCACAUUAUUGUGAACGGCUGAAUAGUAAUACUGCUCUACUAUUUCAUCAGGUUGUUUUGCUGAAUAGUCAAAUUGACAGUGUUUUUCUCCCUAGAUGUUUAUUGAUAUUUCAAGGGUUAAACGGAGCAAUUAAAAGAUACUCCCACGGUUCAAAAACAAUUGCACUUUUGACUUUAAUACGGUAAUUAAGCUCUCACCAGCAAUAAUUUUUAUAUUGUCAAGCUUUGCAGCACCAAAGCUAUACCAUUUGAUUUGUUAUUCAACGUGCUUUACUCACAUCAUCUUUUGCAUAGAAAAUAACGGUCAUAGUUCAUCCAAUUCAUUCCGGGUAAAACAAAUAAGAGUUGUUGAAGCUGUUGCUGUACAGUGACCGAUGGAUUUGACGGUGUAAAUGAUAAAAAAUACAUAGAUUUAAUUAAAGG
rnacentral:lncRNA from 1 species